GACUGCAGAGAGGAUGACAGAGAACAGUGGACACACAGUUUAACAUGAUGGACUAUAGGACAGGACUGCUGCUGUUAACUAUCUGCUGGGCAGGUGUUGAUGGUCAGACUCUGACAGAAUCUGAACCAGUGGUUAAAAGGCCUGGAGAAUCUCACAGAUUGACCUGUACAGCCUCUGGAUUCACAUUCAGCAGCUACGAGAUGAACUGGGUCAGACAGGCUCCUGGAAAAGGACUGGAGUGGAUUGCUUAUAUCAACAGUGGCAGUGGCAAAUACUACUCUCAGUCAGUUCAAGGCCAGUUUACCAUCUCCAGAGACAACAGCAGACAGCAGGUGUAUCUGCAGAUGAACAGUCUGAAGACUGAAGAUUCUGCUGUUUAUUAUUGUGCUCGAGAGCCACAGUGACUGGAGUUGGUUGAGCAGCUGUACAAAAUCCUACAGUACUCAUCUUUACCACAAUUAUUCCAAUAAAAUUAUAUUAAUACUUUGAAUUGAGAGAAUAAAUGACCUUUCACAUUUACAUACAUUAUUUGACAGAUAAACCAGCAGACAUUUUUUACAGAGCACCACAGAAAAUAGCACAUCAUCACAAUGUUUCAGUUCCUAACUAGUUAAUUUCACCUUGAGGACCUAAGUAUAUCUGUGUCUAUGUGACUUCAAACAGCCACAGUUUAAAUGCUGAAUCCUUUAAAAAGAAAAAAAAAGAAAAAGAAUAAAUAAAAUAAAA